AAGAUCUACAUCUUUGGUUUUUUCAUAAACAUUAUCUUACUUACUCUAAAGUAAUUAGGGAAUUAAAACUUGAGAAUGGCAUUGUCAGGUUGGGCGUAGAUUUACGUUCCUGCUAUGUCUAGGUCUCGAAUGUUGUUUUUUGAUUGGAAUGUGUCUGAAGAUAUUCAAACUCUCAUCUUCACCGAUGAGCCCAUAGAGGUUGAAGAGGGCGAAACACAUUUCUAAGAGCUGGUGUUUGGAUCUUCGAUUCUAUUCAAAAAAAUUUUCCCAGCCCGAAGUAGUGGAUGUGUGAAUUGUUCGUAAGGGGAUUUUUCCGCAUUCUCUAUUUCAUUUGUUUGUUUUCGUACGAGUGGUCGUCCAAACCAGUACCUGUGGAUCUUUUGAUCACUGAGUGUGUUUCAAAGAUCUACAUCUUUGGUUUUUUCAUAAACAUUAUCUUACUUACUCUACAGUAAUUAGGGAAUUAAAACUUGAGAAUGGCAUUGUCAGGUUGGGCGUAGAUUUACGUUCCUGCUAUGUCUAGGUCUCGAAUGUUGUUUUUUGAUUGGAAUGUGUCUGAAGAUAUUCAACCUCUCAUCUUCACCGAUGAGCCCAUAGAGGUUGAAGAGGGCGAAACACAUUUCUAAGAGCUGGUGUUUGGAUCUUCGAUUCUAUUCAAAAAAAUUUUCCCAGCCCGAAGUAGUGGAUGUGUGAAUUGUUCGUAAGGGGAUUUUUCCGCAUUCUCUAUUUCAUUUGUUUGUUUUCGUACGAGUGGUCGUCCAAACCAGUACCUGUGGAUCUUUUGAUCACUGAGUGUGUUUCAAAGAUCUACAUCUUUUGUUUUUUCAUAAACAUUAUCUUACUUACUCUAAAGUAAUUAGGGAAUUAAAACUUGAGAAUGGCAUUGUCAGGUUGGGCGUAGAUUUACGUUCCUGCUAUGUCUAGGUCUCGAAUGUUGUUUUUUGAUUGGAAUGUGUCUGAAAAUAUUCAACCUCUCAUCUUCACCGAUGAGCCCAUAGAGGUUGAAGAGGGCGAAACACAUUUCUAAGAGCUGGUGUUUGGAUCUUCGAUUCUAUUCAAAAAAUAUUUCCCAGCCCGAAGUAGUGGAUGUGUGAAUUGUUCGUAAGGGGAUUUUUCCGCAUUCUCUAUUUCAUUUGUUUGUUUUCGUACGAGUGGUCGUCCAAACCAGUACCUGUG